AAGGAGUCCAACAAAUACGCGAGUGUUUGGGUGGCAAACCCGAGCGCGAAAUGAAAGUGAAUGUAGGUGGAUCCUUCGGGUGCACCAACGACCGGACUGGAUAAUUUUUUGAUAGAUCUGAGUAAGAGCAUAUAUGUUGGGACCCGAAAGAUGGUGAACUAUGCCUGAAUAGGGUGAAGUCAGAGGAAACUCUGAUGGAGGCUCGUAGCGGUUCUGACGUGCAAAUCGAUCGUCAAAUUUGGGUAUAGGGGCGAAAGACUAAUCGAACCAUCUAGUAGCUGGUUCC
rnacentral:misc_RNA from 1 species